rnacentral:lncRNA from 1 species
CAGUGACACCCUGACGUACGGGAGAUAGGGGGAUUCCCACGAAGAUACAGCUUGUAAAUAUGCAGAAAACUCACAGUUGUGCGGCGCUCCUUCUUGCCACACUAGCGUUUAUGAUGUUGGCGUUCACCUCAGCAAAGAGCAUUUCCAGCGUUCAACACUCCAGCCGAGUUAAGCGACAGUGGGCGGACGCGCGUAUGGCUGAACUGUUGCCGCUGAUGGGCCUUAUGCGAGGGGGACCGGGGUCCGUUGCCCACGGCAUGGUAGACCCCGCAGUGAAUGGCAAGAGGAAGAGGGAGAGCACAGACUAUUACUACAACAACGGCGAAAGCAGUUUUAGUGACCUCAGGAAAGAACGGAUACUCCAAAGACUGACACAGCUAUUAAUAGAAGGCAAUCAAUAGGAGUGGAGGUGCUACUUAAACAAUGGCGAAGUGUCAGCCAAACGAUAUCUACUACAGCUGACGAAAUAAAAACAAGAAUCUCAGACGACUGCUCCUUUCUACUUAAAAAAUGAAGUGAAAAAAAAAA